CGAGCACACAUCAGUGGGUCGACUUGACGACUCAGGCAACAACAGAGAAUACCGAUGAAGAAGAAGCAUCGCCGAUUUCAUGCUAUCUUAAAAUGUGAUCAUUGAUGUCAUCUGUUAGCAAAAUGGCUUUGAAACGUUCAUCUGUAUUCUACGAUAGGUACGAAAUGCGAACGAACACUCGAGUGAAGCGGCCACCAACCGAGAUUGCCAAUAGCGUAUGUAUCAUCGGCUUAACAAAAGAAAGACGGAUUGGGAUAAAUUUCGACACACAUUAUGCACGACUAUCCCUUCUAGAGAAGAAAAUAAACCCAUAUAGAUUAUGAGUGUAUCUCUUUGUCAUCAAACAAUGAAUUGCGCAAUUGCAUUUGGUUCUCAUACUACUACAGCACAGCGUGACACUAUUUCUCAUAGACUGAGUCGACAGCGGCACAACAAAUUACAUUAUUUUUGAAACGCAAUUUAUAUAGUCUCUAUGAAACAUUUGUUAAAUAUUCACACCGAAAUGGGAAAAAUAUGUUAAGCGGAACUGGCAAACUAAAAAUGCAAUCAUGAAAUUGCAGUUUCAUUGCUUGUUGAGUGAGAAGGAGGAAAAUAGAUAGAUAUUGUGGCAAUGAAUCAAACCAAACUUGUAAUGCAUUUCAUAUUUCUUUUAUCUAUUACAUACAUAUAUUAAAAAUUGUUAUCUUAA
rnacentral:sRNA from 1 species